rnacentral:tRNA from 1 species
AAGAAGUGAAAUAAGAAGCCGCUAACUACUUAAAAACAUUAAUUUGUUAACUUCUUG